UACGUAGGGUGCAAGCGUUAAUCGGAAUUACUGGGCGUAAAGCGUGCGCAGGCGGUUCGUUGUGUCUGUGGUGAAAGCCCCGGGCUUAACCUGGGAAUGGCCAUGGAAACUGGCGAGCUGGAGUGUGGCAGAGGGGGGUGGAAUUCCGCGUGUAGCAGUGAAAUGCGUAGAGAUGCGGAGGAACACCGAUGGCGAAGGCAGCCCCCUGGGUUGACACUGACGCUCAGGCACGAAAGCGUGGGGAGCAAACAGG
rnacentral:rRNA from 1 species